rnacentral:rRNA from 1 species
UACGAAGGGGGCGAGCGUUGUUCGGAUUUACUGGGCGUAAAGGGCGCGCAGGCGGCUCAUUUUGUCAGGCGUGAAAGCCCCGGGCUUAACCUGGGAACUGCGUUUGAUACGGAUGGGCUAGAGUUCGGGAGAGGAGAGUGGAAUUCCCAGUGUAGAGGUGAAAUUCGUAGAUAUUGGGAAGAACACCGGUGGCGAAGGCGGCUCUCUGGACCGAGACUGACGCUGAGGCGGCGAAAAGCGUGGGGAGCAAACAGG